rnacentral:rRNA from 1 species
AUUGAACGCUGGCGGCAUGCCUUACACAUGCAAGUCGAACGGCAGCACGGGAGCAAUCCUGGUGGCGAGUGGCGAACGGGUGAGUAAUGUAUCGGAACGUACCUUUCAGUGGGGGAUAACGUAGCGAAAGUUACGCUAAUACCGCAUAUUCUGUGAGCAGGAAAGCAGGGGAUCGCAAGACCUUGCGCUGAUUGAGCGGCCGAUAUCAGAUUAGCUAGUUGGUGAGGUAAAGGCUCACCAAGCCAACGAUCUGUAGCUGGUCUGAGAGGACGACCAGCCACACUGGAACUGAGACACGGUCCAGACUCCUACGGGAGGCAGCAGUGGGGAAUUUUGGACAAUGGGCGCAAGCCUGAUCCAGCCAUUCCGCGUGCAGGAUGAAGGCCUUCGGUUGUAACUAGCUUUGUACGGUACGAAAGACCUCGGGUUAAGUACCUAGGGUCGAUGACGGUACCGUAAGAA